AGUUCGCGUGAGGGAUAGAGGCGGUAUCCUUUUAUUCCUCCCGAUAGCAAUCGGGAGGAAUAAAAGAUAUAGCCGAAAGCCCGGCCCGGA
rnacentral:sRNA from 1 species